rnacentral:rRNA from 1 species
UACGGAGGGUGCAAGCGUUAAUCGGAAUUACUGGGCGUAAAGCGUGCGUAGGCGGUUUGUUUAGUCAGAUGUGAAAGCCCCGGGCUCAACCUGGGAACUGCAUUUGAUACUGGCAGACUUGAGUAUGGUAGAGGGGGGUAGAAUUCCACGUGUAGCAGUGAAAUGCGUAGAGAUGUGGAGGAAUACCGAUGGCGAAGGCAGCCCCCUGGGCCAACACUGACGCUGAGGUACGAAAGCGUGGGGAGCAAACAGG